rnacentral:rRNA from 1 species
CCAGACUCCUACGGGAGGCAGCAGUGGGGAAUAUUGGACAAUGGACCGAGAGUCUGAUCCAGCAAUUCUGUGUGCACGAUGAAGUUUUUCGGAAUGUAAAGUGCUUUCAGUUGGGAAGAAAAAAAUGACGGUACCAACAGAAGAAGUGACGGCUAAAUACGUGCCAGCAGCCGCGGUAAUACGUAUGUCACAAGCGUUAUCCGGAUUUAUUGGGCGUAAAGCGCGUCUAGGUGGUUAUAUAAGUCUGAUGUGAAAAUGCAGGGCUCAACUCUGUAUUGCGUUGGAAACUGUGUAACUAGAGUACUGGAGAGGUAAGCGGAACUACAAGUGUAGAGGUGAAAUUCGUAGAUAUUUGUAGGAAUGCCGAUGGGGAAGCCAGCUUACUGGACAGAUACUGACGCUGAAGCGCGAAAGCGUGGGUAGCAAACAGGAUUAGAUACCCUGGUAGUCCACGCCGUAAACGAUGAUUACUAGGUGUUGGGGGUCGAACCUCAGCGCCCAAGCAAACGCGAUAAGUAAUCCGCCUGGGGAGUACGUACGCAAGUAUGAAACUCAAAGGAAUUGACGGGGGCCCGCACAAG